GUUGGAUUCGAUACGAUGACGGUGGUAAGAACUAUACUAGACACGAGGGGUGUAGCUAAAUCGCGUGCGUCGCAAAGCGUCGCGACGCCGCAACCGUCCUUGCGUAACCAAGCAACCCUUGAGGGGGUAGUAGUCCGACCAACGCUUCACUCCGUUUAGGUAUUAGUCUCCAACGAAACUGUAUUGGGAACGGAUCGAGAGGGGGUUCCAAAUAUUAGGGGGGACCCUUCUCCUCUUCUUCCUCCUACUCUUAUUCCUGUUUCUCCAAAGAAGAAGAAGAAGAAGAAGAAGAAGAACAAGAAAAAGAACAAGAAAAAGUCCUACUUGAUCGUCUGGUAUCAUCAACAGGUUGGUGGUCUCGGUUAAAUGCCGAGAAUAAUCGACAACGAAAACGAGGACGACGACGACGACGACGACGACGAAGACGAAGACGAGGAGGAGGAAGAGGAGGUCGGGAUAAACCAUUACGAAGAAGAAGGACGAACGCAAACGUUGAUUAUUCUCGAUCGAAGUGAUUUUAUCAAGAUGCAAACAGGCUUGGCGGAUAAAUCGAGAAGAUUAAAAUAGAUUUUUAUUAAUGAAUAAUAAAAAGAUGACGAAGAAAAGAACGAAUCACGAUACGACGAUUCGUGGAUUAUCUUAUUGUCGCGUGUUAAUAAAUUUAUUCGCGAAAUCAAUAAUAAGAAAUACGAUGUACUAUAAUAAUAAUAAU